AGGGAUAUGAUGAUGCUUUUUGACACCCAGUCUUACUUCCAUAUCUUUACUGAAUGUGGUGAUAAAGAUACCUUUUAGCUGAUCCCUAUUAGUUGAAAUGAGAUUUUUUUUAAAAAAAUUUGUUUUGAACUAGUGCAUUUAUUGUCUUAUUUGUUCUGCGGUGGAUAUCAAGAAUGUGUUCGACACCCAGUCUUAUCUCUUUGUGGAAGGUGGUGAGAUCUUUUUUAUCUGAUGC
rnacentral:misc_RNA from 1 species